GAAUUCGAUUAACGCGAAGAACCUUACCUGGGCUCGAACGGCUCACGAACGACUGUGGAAACACGGUUUUCCCGCAAGGGACGGGAGUCGAGGUGCUGCAUGGCUGUCGUCAGCUCGUGUCGUGAGAUGUUGGGUUAAGUCCCGCAACGAGCGCAACCCUCGUCCUGUGUUGCUACUCCGCAAGGAGGCACUCUCAGGAGACCGCCGGCGAUAAGCUGGAGGAAGGUGGGGAUGACGUCAAGUCAUCAUGGCCUUUAUGUCCAGGGCUACACACGUGCUACAAUGGACGGUACAAACCGCUGCAAGCCCGCGAGGGGGAGCAAAUCGGAGAAAACCGUUCUCAGUUCGGAUCGCAGGCUGCAACUCGCCUGCGUGAAGCUGGAAUCGCUAGUAAUGGCGUAUCAGAACGACGCCGUGAAUACGUUCCCGGGCCUUGUCACACCGAAUCACUA
rnacentral:rRNA from 1 species